GUGCGAUAGGGACUCCCAGUGCUCAGGCAUAGCCUGGGCUUUUGCCAAGUGUAAACAGCUUGGCGAAUAAGUGGUGGGUAAGACGGGUGCCAGCCGCCGCGGUAACACCUGCGCCACAAGUGGGAAUCGCAUUUAUUGGGCCUAAAGCGUUCGUAGCCGGAUAAGAAAGUCUCGGGUGAAAUCGUUGCGCUUAACAAAACGACGUGCUUGAGAUACUACUUAUCUAGGGACCGGGAGGCGGUAGGAGUAUUCCUGAGGGAGCGGUAAAAUGGAGCUGAAUUCAGAGUGCUGAGUGCAGCUCACUUACAGUGCUAUAAUCUCAGGAGGACUACCUGUGGCGAAGGCGCCUACCGAGAACGGGUCCGACGGUGAGGAACGAAAGCUAGGGGAGCAAACCGGAUUAGAUACCCGAGUCGUCCUAGCUGUAAACGCUGUGAACUAGAUGUUACAUAUCCCUCGUGGAUAUGUAGUGUCGAAGCGAAGGUAUUAAGUUCACCGCCUGGGAAGUACGGUCGCAAGGCUGAAACUUAAAGGAAUUGGCGGGAGAGCACCACAAGGGGUGCGGCGUGCGGUUCAAUUUAACUCAACGCAGAGCAUCUCACCAGCAGCGACGGCAGAAUGAAGGUCAGUCUGAAGGGCUUACCCAACGAGCCGAGAGGUAUUGCAUGGCCGUCGUCAGCUCGUGCCGUAAGGUGUCCUCUUAAGUGAGGUAACGAGCGAGACCCAUACCCAUAAUUGCCAGCAGGUUCUUCGGAACGACUGGGCACGUUAUGGGAACUGCCUGGGAAACCAGGAGGAAGGUGUGGGCCACGGUAGGUCUGUAUGGUCCGAAUCUGCUGGGCUACACGCGCGCAACAAUGGCCAGGACAAUGGGAUGCAACGCCGAAAGGCGGAGCUAAACCUCUAAACCUGGUCCUAGUUUGGAUUGAGGAUUGUAAUUCAUCCUCAUGACAUCGGAAUCCCUAGUAAUCGGUCCUCAUCAUAGACCGGUGAAUAUGUCCCUG
rnacentral:rRNA from 1 species